GGGUCUUUUGUAGGAUGAGAUUGAGUUAUUAACAAAUGAAGGAGCAAAUACGCAUCCAAAUUUGGUGAAGUUGUAUACGUGCUGUUUUGAUAGGAGGCUCGCAGUUGUCUAUGAUGCAGAGUUCACUAGAGUCUUGUCGAACGUGCUUCUGGAUGAUGACUUUGGGUGGGAUAAGCGGAUGAAAGUGGCAACCCAACUCGCAGAUCUCUUCUCGUGGUUGCACAUGAAUGGGAUUGCAGUUGGAAGCGUUACAACUUCAUGUAUUAUGAUAGAUGACGAAGUGAACAUAAAAGUGUUUUGACUUUGGAUACGUAUCAAAUCAUGUGAAAGAAGAUACUAAAAUUUCUGUUCUAGCUUGUGUUGGCCGGGAAGCUCCAGAGAUUUUCA